GGUGCUUGCAUUGGGAGGAGAGUGGCGAACGGGUGAGUAACACGUGGAUAAUCUGCCUUCAGGAUUGGGAUAACUGUGGGAAACUACAGCUAAUACCGGAUAAGAUGGUAGCUUCACAAGAAGUAGUCAUUAAAGGUGGGGACCUUCGGGCCUACCGCCUGAAGAUGAGUCCGCGGCCCAUUAGCUUGUUGGUAGGGUAACGGCCUACCAAGGCUGCGAUGGGUAGCCGGCCUGAGAGGGUGAUCGGCCACAUUGGGACUGAGAUACGGCCCAGACUUCUACGGAAGGCAGCAGUUAAGAAUCUUGCGCAAUGGGCGAAAGCCUGACGCAGCGACGCCGCGUGGACGAUGAAGGCCUUCGGGUUGUAAAGUCCGGUAAGCAGGGAAGAAUAAGUUUCGCUGAAUAAGCGGAACGAUGACGGUACCUGCCUAAAGCCCCGGCUAACUACGUGCCAGCAGCCGCGGUAAUACGUAUGGGGCGAGCGUUGUUCGGAGUUAUUGGGCAUAAAGGGCGUCUAGGCGGGGAAUUAAGUUAGGUGUGAAAGCCAUGGGCUCAACCCGUGAAUUGCAUCUAAAACUGAUUCUCUUGAGUUCGGGAGAGGAGAGCGGAAUUCCUGGUGUAGCGGUGAAAUGCGUAGAUAUCAGGAAGAACACCAGUGGCGAAGGCGGAUCUCUGGCCUAGAACUGACGCUGAAGCGCGAAAGCGUGGGGAGCGAACGGGAUUAGAUACCCCGGU
rnacentral:rRNA from 1 species